rnacentral:rRNA from 1 species
UACGUGGGGACCAAGCGUUGUUCGGAUUUACUGGGCGUAAAGGGCGCGUAGGCGGCAAUUCAAGUUAGUUGUGAAAUCUCCGAGCUUAACUCGGAACGGUCAACUAAUACUGUUUUGCUAGAGUACAGAAAGGGCAAUCGGAAUUCUUGGUGUAGCGGUGAAAUGCGUAGAUAUCAGGAGGAACACCAAUGGCGAAGGCAGCUCGCUGGGACGGUACUGACGCUGAGACGCGAAAGCGUGGGGAGCAAACAGG